AAUAUACAUUUCUUGGUUGGAAAUUUUAAAUGUUCUUAACUAUCUGCGUACCAUCCACCUCAAUUAAUAUUCUUGAGACCACUUUAACAAAUCAGCUGUUCAGUGAAUGUUCCUAACAUUGUCUGUUGGUUCAUAAGUCAGCUGAAAUCCGUUUAAAGUCCUUUCCGGCCCGCAAGGGUAGGUUUUGUCAUCCUCUGGCAGUUAUCCUCUGGCAGUUAAGCCACAUUUUGUGUUGUAAUGUUUCUUCUCUUGCAUUUAUUAUACCAAUUAGCUAAGUGACAUUGAACAAAGACCAUACAUCUCUUGUCCUCAAUUUAUGUGUAAAAUGAUUACUGAAGUUUCUUCUCUACCUUUAAGAAGACAAUUAUUAGAUUCAUACUUGCCUCCAAAACCUGAUUGUCAGCUCCUUGAGGCCUGAAACUUGUUAGUUUGAAACAAACUGUAGUGACGUAGUGGGAGACUUGCGAGCAUUGAUGUUCACAUUUGUAAAACGAAACAGGUCACUAGGAAAUAAUCACACCCUGAGUCUGCUUAGAUGGGAGAGCCAGAAAUGAAAAAGGCUGCCCUGCCCUUUACUCUCACAGACAAUACUGUUGUGUUGUGUCACUAUACUAGCAUCAUCCCAUCCUUCACUGCAAAAGUCAGAUUUUAAGUUCUCCAUCUGUGUCUCCCCUGCGUUCAUAUGCUUCAGGGGCAGUUGACUCCGUCUUUGCCUGCUAGGAUUGAGUUUAGAUUAUGAACACACAUGCUAAUCCAAUCCAGCAAUUGACAUGGUCAAUGGAUAUGUGCUCCAAAUAGAGCCAUUGAGAUGUUGCGGUCUUCUGGCAAGGCCUCUUAAAAAUGAGACUCAGAAAAGAGAUAGUUCUCUCUCUUCUGGAGUUUGGCAUUAUCUGAAUGUGAUGCACAGAAUUUUGAGGUCAUCUCACAGCCUGAGGAUGAAGCCAAUAAACAGGAUGGCAGAGCCAAGAGUAAUACCCCUUACCUCUGGACAUCUUACUUGAGAUAAUUUUUCUUACUACCUAACCAUUUUGAGUAAGACUUUUCAGUUGAAAUUAUGAGCAUGGCUGUUACCUCUCUGGACUUUGUGAACAAUGGUAUCUUGAUUUAACUUAACCCAGUUCAUUCCAUAUGUAUUUCAUUAUCUGAGAAUGCUCAUUUCAAGCCUAUGGUUUACUUCUCUCACUGUGACAUUCCAAGGUUAGGGGGAACAAACAGUACAUGUAUGUGGUCGAAAGUAAUUCCUGGGCCAAAUCAGACACAACAAACACUGGGUAAUGAAAGGUGAAAUGAGUAUAGUUUUCCUUUCAGGGAUCUAUUUUUUAUUAUAGCUCAUAAUUCAUUACACUAAUGUUAUGCUCUGUAAGCAUUAGAGAUGGAAUCCUGGAAGCUAAAAAUAGUAUGUAUUGGGUUCAAAUAUAGCUGUUUAGUGUGAAAGCAGGCUUUGAACCUAAAAGAGCCUUGCUUGGCUUGUUUAAUAGAGCUUUUAUAUUUGGAUUUUAUGUUUAGUGAGCAAAUUCUUGUAAAUCGUUUUGGACAGUUACUUUAGUUGUCUACUGAGAAUGGGAACAAUAUAAGUUUGAAGGUGGUAGAGAGGCAUUAUUUUGCUAUUUUGUUUCCUUUGAGGAGGAGGAAGGAAAGGAUGAGAAAUGUUUAUGUUAUCACGAAUGUUUCUUAGUCUAAUGUUUAUAAAGGUGGAUUCCAGUUGAAUAAGACUAUUGCUUAAUCUGUAACUUGCACUAUAACUGGAACCAUUUUUUAAAGUAUUAUUUUGCAAACCUGUUAAGAAUGUGAUUCUUUUUUUUUUUUUUUUUUUUUUUUUGGUGUGAUUUGCAAGCUCCUUGUCAGUGCAUGCUUUGACACCUUAUUGCUGGAGAAGCCAAACUGCUUGAUAACUUUUAGUAAUAUAUUGCAUAUAAACAUUUUUAGUUACAUUCAAUGUUAACAUGUAAAUUCAGAUUGUUAAAUGGUCCCAGUUUUCAGGCUGAUUUUCAGCUGAGUACAUGCCAACUGCAUAAAAUCAUCUGUUACUUAUUCUCAUCUUAGAUAUGAGUUUCCAAAGAAAUAGCCCACAAAAAUAGGGCAUUGUGGUAUAUUUUUAUUAAUCCUUCGGGCAGUCCUUUAUGCUAAGAUGAUAUCUUUCUACUUAGUGUUUCUAAAAUGAAAAAUGAUAGUAAUUUUUAAAAAUGACCUUAGUAAAGUUAGAAGUUGACAGUUUCUUGUAUCUAAUAUUUGGAGGAGAAUGUUACUGGGCUAUAACAUUUUGAAGUCUGGGAACAAUACGUCUAGUGGGAGAUGAAUAAACUGAAGUUUCCUCAUUAGCUCAUUUAAAGGCAGAUAGAUAGAAAGCAAGUAUUAGAAUCUCCUCCCAAUCAGUAGAUUUCUUCAUCCUUCACAGAGUUUUGUUUGAGUGGAAUUACUGGAAGCCGUGCUAUGUGAUACAACUGUAAAGUUAAAUGCUCUAGUCACAUUGUUAAAUAGCACUCAUUUUUGAUCAAAAAUGGCUAUUGACUUGAGAGAUCUAUCAGGUGACAGUUUGUAUUAUUGUGACACCCAUGCCUGUAGUAAUUUCAUUACUCUUUGUAUCUGUGUUAAGAAAAGAUAGACUCACAAGGUGAAUGAUUAUCUUGGCAUUUUAGUUACAUCAGUGACACUUCCUCCUGUACAUAUGGGGAGAUCAGAUUUAAUCUGAUGCUUGGCACUCACUAAGGAACAAAAAGAUCAGUUGGGUUACUGAGGGUUUUUGUUUUGUUUUGUUUUAGAAGCAUCAUUAUAAAAUUUAUCAUAGCAAGGAGAAGUGUCCAAAUUCAAAUGGAAUCAUAUUAGUGUCUUGGCACUGUCAUCUUAAUAAAUUCUUGCUGAAUAUAUUUUUUCAUUCGGCCAUUUACCACUAAUCUUGAGUUAAGCCACCAAAGAAGGCCCCAAUUGUGCUAGUUAUCCAACUUUGCAAAAAACAACUUUUUUUUGAGACGGAGUCUCACUCUGUCACCCAGGCUGGAGUGCAGUGGCCCGAUCUCGGCUCACUGCAGCCUCCACCUCCUGGGUUCACACCGUUCUCCUGCCUCAGCCUCCCGAGUAGCUGGGACUGCAGGCGCCGGCCACCACGCCCAGCUAAUUUUUUGUAUUUUUAGUAGAGAUGGGGUUUCACCGUGUUAGCCAGGAUGGUCUCCAUCUCCUGACCAUGUGAUCCACCCGCCUCGGCCUCCUAAAGCGCUGGGAUUACAGGAUUCAUCAGGAUUCUUGAAUCUGAAGAUUUUUGGCUUUCAACAGUUUUGGAAAUUUUUCCACUAUUAUGUCUUUGAAUAUUGCCUCAUUCCUGUAUUCUCUACUAAUUUCUUAUUAGAGGUUUUUGAGCUUAUCUUGGUAUGUCAUCUGUAUAAAUUUUUGGAGACCAGACUUCAAGUAGGCUGAUGGUGUGAAUUGCAUCGAUGAACACUCUUGCUUCCUGACUUCCUGUUGGAAUUGGCCAAUGGGAAGCACUUGAGGAGAUCAGAGAGAGUGAGGAGGAGAUAUUUAUUCUGGGUGUGUCCAGUCUCAGCUGGGAACGGAAGAUGCUUUGCAUAUCUUUAAAAUCUUCAGGCCAUAGAGUUGGGGAUAGUGCAGAAAGAAUACCACAGAACUUUUAUGCCAGAAAAUGGCAGGUGCUCCGAGGGCUAUGUUGGAAUGCUUGGAGUGCAUAAAAAUACCAAGAGAAUCCAGCCAGGACUGUGAAGCCCCAGGGAAUGGCUGCACUUCAAGUCAGAAGGAGCCUGGGUCCCUGAAUCAUCAUGUGGAAGGCUCUCCACCCAACUCAAUGGUGCAAUGGACCACAAGCAAGAACUUAAUUUAGAAUGUGCUUAUUUUGUUAGAUUUUGUAAUUAAAAAAUUGAUCCCACUCUGACUGAAUGAGAGAUGUUGAAGUCAUUAAUCUGGGAGGGUAUGUUCCUGGGAGUGGGUGGCUGAGGUGAGAUUUCAAACAAGGUUGUUGAGGAAGAGGAG